rnacentral:rRNA from 1 species
GACGAACGCUGGCGGUGUGCUUAACACAUGCAAGUGGUGCGACGAACCAGAGCUUGCUCUGGGGCAAAGCCGCGAACGGGUGAGUAACACGUGGGUAAUCUACCCCGAUGACUGGGACAACCCGAGGAAACUCGGGCUAAUACCGGAUGUUGUGCGGAGACAUAAGUCUCUUCACUAAAGGUAGCUUCGGCUUCCGCAUUGGGAGGGGCCCGCGGCCCAUUAGCUUGUUGGUGGGGUCAAGGCCUACCAAGGCAACGAUGGGUAGCUGGUCUGAGAGGACGAUCAGCCACACUGGGACUGAGACACGGCCCAGACUCCUACGGGAGGCAGCAGUGGGGAAUCUUGCGCAAUGCGCGAAAGCGUGACGCAGCAACACCGCGUGAGGGAAGAAGGCCUUAGGGUUGUAAACCUCUUUCAGAUGGGACGAAGGUUCUCCGGUGAAUAGCCGAGAGGAUUGACGGUACCGUCAGAAGAAGCUCCGGCUAACUACGUG